AUAAUGAUACUCCUGUACGCAGCUCGGAGCAAACCUCGGAGGGGUGAGAUUCCCGUG
rnacentral:ncRNA from 2 species